rnacentral:rRNA from 1 species
GCUACGGGAGGCAGCAGUGGGGAAUAUUGCACAAUGGGGGCAACCCUGAUGUAGCGACGCCGCGUGUGUGAAGAAGUAAUUCGUUACGUAAAGCUCUAUCAGCAGGGAAGAAACACUGACCUUACGGUCAGCAGACGGUACCUGAGUAACAAGCACCGACUAACUACGUGCCAGCAGCCGCGGUAAUACGUAGGGGGCAAGCGUUAUCCGGAUUUACUGGGUGUAAAGGGAGCGUAGACGGUGCGCCAAGUGUGAGGUGAAAUGCCGGAGCUUAACUGCGGAACUGCUUUGGAAACUGGCGAACUAGAGUGCGGGAGGGGGAAGCGGAAUU